UAUCGCUGUUGCUUAGUGACUAGAAAACAAAACUACGAAAAGCUGAUUAUCUGUGAGGAUCCUGUUCAAUGCAUUUAGAGCAACACUCUUUUUUGUGAGAAUGUGACAGCACUCUUCAAGUAUCAGAAAAGAUGUUAUACAGAUGAAGGUCAAGACCUGUUACCCGUGUUCCAGAGUGCAAGUUUUGUCAUUAUGAUGCAGACUCCUAGUUGUUUACUGGUACAAUCGGCAAAGGUCCCAUGGGGUUUCUGAUGAUGUCUCUUCUUGGAGUUUCACUGAAUUGCAUAAUCCACAGCAGCCUCAUAUUACUGAAGAGAUGACUGCAUAAAAAGAUAAAACACACACACACACUUAACCACUUUGCAAUUGGAUAAGAACUAUGGUCAACAUUCACCAGAGUUUAAGAUAUCCUAGCUAUGCAGGUGUGUACAAGAAGCUGUAUUUAGAGUUGAAAAAUCCUUGCUGUUUAAUAAAAUGGACCAGCAUAUCAGCUUGCAUUGCUGAAUGGCAGCCUCAACAGGGAGGAGACAAUGUUAGCCUUUCCUGAGAACACUUUCUACCCUCCUUCUAAAAAAAUAAAAAAUAUGGCUGCACUUUUCUCAUGCCCACAAGGACAAAGCCUACUCAAUCUUAAAUAAGGGGCAUUAUUCAGAUGCAUUUCUCAGUCCCCAAUCUCCUUUGCUGCUGCUGAAUGGAAUAUUGAUAAUAAUAUUUCUCCUGCUCUGAAAUAAAUUAUGUGAAUGUG